GGGGGCGAACUAGGUUCGACGGAGGUCGUGUGGGCAAGGAUUGCGAGCCGAGAGCCCGCGAGCUCGUAAAACCGCGGGAAAAGCACAACUGCCAACACUGAAUUGGCAAUAGCCGCCUAGGGCGGCUCGUCCGGCCGGGCUUCUCCUGUGGGACCGGUGCAGGGCGUCAAAGACAUAGGAUACCUCGGGCCGGAAGGCCGCGCACGGCUGAGGGAAUAAAAGAGGCUAGCGCCCAAGGACCCGUUCCCCGGGGGCCGGACGGCGCGAAAACCAAAGCGGGGAAUACGCUCGUAGAAGUCUUUGCUGGCAGGCUUUCGGACAGCGGUGCAACUCCGCUCGCCUCCACCA
rnacentral:tmRNA from 1 species